rnacentral:rRNA from 1 species
GAUAGAGACUUUGCAGAGACGGAUGAGUGCCUUCGGGAGCUCUGUGACAGGUGCUGCAUGGCUGUCGUCAGCUCGUGUUGUGAAAUGUUGGGUUAAGUCCCGCAACGAGCGCAACCCUUAUCCUUGUUUGCCAGCGAGUAAUGUCGGGAACUCCAGGGAGACUGCCGGUGAUAAACCGGAGGAAGGUGGGGACGACGUCAAGUCAUCAUGGCCCUUACGGGAUGGGCUACACACGUGCUACAAUGGCGCAUACAGAGGGCAGCCAACUUGCGAGGGGGAGCGAAUCCCAAAAAGUGCGUCGUAGUCCGGAUUGGAGUCUGCAACUCGACUCCAUGAAGUCGGAAUCGCUAGUAAUCGUGGAUCAAAAUGCCACGGUGAAUACGUUCCCGGGUCUUGUACACACCGA